rnacentral:rRNA from 1 species
AUUGAACGCUGGCGGCAGGCCUAACACAUGCAAGUCGGGCGGAGCGGCGGACGGGUGAGUAAUGUAUGGGGAUCUGCCUGAUGGAGGGGGAUAACUACUGGAAACGGUAGCUAAUACCGCAUACCAUCAGAUGAACCCAUCUGGGAUUAGCUUGUUGGUGGGGUAAAGGGCUACCAGGGAGACGAUCCGUAACUGGUCUGAGAGGAUGAUCAGUCGCACUGGAACUGAGACACGGUCCAGACUCCUAGGGUAGGCAGGAGUGGGGAAUAUUGGACAAUGGGCGAAAGCCUGAUCCAGCCAUGCCGCGUGUGUGAAGAAGGUCUUCGGAUUUUAAAGUACUUUAAGUUGGGAGGCGGUACCAACAGAAUAAGCACCGGCUAACUUCGUGCCAGCAGCCGCGGUAAUUC